AUUGAACGCUGGCGGCAGGCCUAACACAUGCAAGUCGAGCGGGGUUUUCGGACCUAGCGGCGGACGUGUGAGUAAUGCGUAGGAAGCUACCCGAUAGAGGGGGAUACCAGUUGGAAACGACUGUUAAUACCGCAUAAUGUCUACGGACCAAAGUGUGGGACCUUCGGGCCACAUGCUAUCGGAUGUGCCUACGUGGGAUUAGCUAGUUGGUGAGGUAAUGGCUCACCAAGGCGACGAUCCCUAGCUGGUUUGAGAGGAUGAUCAGCCACACUGGAACUGAGACACGGUCCAGACUCCUACGGGAGGCAGCAGUGGGGAAUAUUGGACAAUGGGCGCAAGCCUGAUCCAGCCAUGCCGCGUGUGUGAAGAAGGCCUUCGGGUUGUAAAGCACUUUCAGUAGGGAGGAAGCGUUGUGUGUUAAUAGUACACAGCGUUGACGUUACCUACAGAAGAAGCACCGGCUAACUCUGUGCCAGCCGCCGCAGUAACAC
rnacentral:rRNA from 1 species